rnacentral:rRNA from 1 species
AAGGCGACGGCACAUGGAACUGAGAACGCCAGGAUUCUUACCGAAGGCAGCAAGUGGGAAUAUGCACCAAUUGGCCGAAGCUUGAUGCAGCGACGCCGCGUGAGGGAUGACGCCUCGGUGUAAACCUCUUUCAGCAGGGAAGAAGCGAAAGUGACGGUACCUGCAAGAAGAAGCGCCGGCUAACUACGUGCCAGCAGCCGCGGUAAUAACGUAGGGCGCAAGCGUUGUCCGGGAAUUAUUGGGCGUAAAGAGCUCGUAGGCGGCUUGUCGCGUCGGUUGUGAAAAGCCCGGGGCUUAACCCCGGGUCUGCAGUCGAUACGGGCAGGCUAGAGUUCGGUAGGGGAGAUCGGAAUUCCUGGUGUAGCGGUGAAAUGCGCAGAUAUCAGGAGGAACACCGGUGGCGAAGGCGGAUCUCUGGGCCGAUACUGACGCUGAGGAGCGAAAGCGUGGGGAGCGAACAGGAUUAGAUACCCUGGUAGUCCACGCCGUAAACGGUGGGCACUAGGUGUGGGCAACAUUCCACGUUGUCCGUGCCGCAGCUAACGCAUUAAGUGCCCCGCCUGGGGAGUACGGCCGCAAGGCUAAAACUCAAAGGAAUUGACGGGGGCCCGCACAAGCGGCGGAGCAUGUGGCUUAAUUCGACGCAACGCGAAGAACCUUACCAAGGCUUGACAUACACCGGAAAGCAUCAGAGAUGGUGCCCCCCUUGUGGUCGGUGUACAGGUGGUGCAUGGCUGUCGUCAGCUCGUGUCGUGAGAUGUUGGGUUAAGUCCCGCAACGAGCGCAACCCUUGUCCCGUGUUGCCAGCAACUCUUCGGAGGUUGGGGACUCACGGGAGACCGCCGGGGUCAACUCGGAGGAAGGUGGGGACGACGUCAAGUCAUCAUGCCCCUUAUGUCUUGGGCUGCACACGUGCUACAAUGGCCGGUACAAUGAGCUGCGAUACCGCAAGGUGGAGCGAAUCUCAAAAAGCCGGUCUCAGUUCGGAUUGGGGUCUGCAACUCGACCCCAUGAAGUCGGAGUCGCUAGUAAUCGCAGAUCAGCAUUGCUGCGGUGAAUACGUUCCCGGGCCUUGUACACACCGCCCGUCACGUCACGAAAGUCGGUAACACCCGAAGCCGGUGGCCCAACCCCUUGUGGAGGGAGCUUCGAAAG